GCAAUACUUUGAUGAGAGUGGCGCACGGGUGCGUAACGCGUAUGCAACCUACCUUUAACAGGUGAAUAGCCCCGAGAAAUCGGGAUUAAUACACCGUAACAUUGCGCUGUGGCAUCACAGUGCAAUUAAAGAUUUAUCGGUUAAAGAUGGGCAUGCGUGACAUUAGCUAGUUGGUGAGGUAACGGCUCACCAAGGCAACGAUGUCUAGGGGUCCUGAGAGGGUUAUCCCCCACACUGGUACUGAGACACGGACCAGACUCCUACGGGAGGCAGCAGUAAGGAAUAUUGGUCAAUGGGCGACAGCCUGAACCAGCCAUGCCGCGUGCAGGAAGACGGCCCCUAUGGGUUGUAAACUGCUUUUGUCAGAGAAUAAACCUGUCUACGUGUAGACAGCUGAAGGUACCUGAAGAAUAAGCAUCGGCUAACUCCGUGCCAGCAGCCGCGGUAAUACGGAGGAUGCAAGCGUUAUCCGGUUUCAUUGGGUUUAAAGGGUGCGCAGGCGGAUUGCUAAGUCAGGGGUGAAAUCCCACAGCUCAACUGUGGAACUGCCCUUGAUACUGUCAGUCUAGAGUAUAGUUGAAGUUGGCGGAAUGUGUCAUG
rnacentral:rRNA from 1 species